UACGUAGGGUGCAAGCGUUGUCCGGAAUUAUUGGGCGUAAAGAGCUCGUAGGCGGUUUGUCGCGUCUGCUGUGAAAACCCGAGGCUCAACCUCGGGCCUGCAGUGGGUACGGGCAGACUAGAGUGCGGUAGGGGAGAUUGGAAUUCCUGGUGUAGCGGUGAAAUGCGCAGAUAUCAGGAGGAACACCGGUGGCGAAGGCGGGUCUCUGGGCCGUAACCUGACGCUGAGGAGCGAAAGCAUGGGGAGCGAACAG
rnacentral:rRNA from 1 species